GCUUACGGCCAUACCAGCCA
rnacentral:rRNA from 1 species